rnacentral:rRNA from 1 species
ACACAUGCAAGUCGAACGAGAAUCUGUGGAAAGAGGAUUCGUCCAAUUGAAGCAGAGGACAGUGGCGGACGGGUGAGUAACGCGUGAGGAACCUGCCUUUCAGAGGGGGACAACAGUUGGAAACGACUGCUAAUACCGCAUGACACAUAGGUGUCGCAUGGCACUUAUGUCAAAGAUUUAUCGCUGAAAGAUGGCCUCGCGUCUGAUUAGCUAGUUGGUGAGGUAACGGCCCACCAAGGCGACGAUCAGUAGCCGGACUGAGAGGUUGAACGGCCACAUUGGGACUGAGAUACGGCCCAGACUCCUACGGGAGGCAGCAGUGGGGAAUAUUGGGCAAUGGGCGCAAGCCUGACCCAGCAACGCCGCGUGAAGGAAGAAGGCUUUCGGGUUGUAAACUUCUUUUGUCAGGGACGAGUAGAAGACGGUACCUGACGAAUAAGCCACGGCUAACUACGUGCCAGCAGCCGCGGUAAUACGUAGGUGGCAAGCGUUGUCCGGAUUUACUGGGUGUAAAGGGCGUGUAGCCGGGAGGGCAAGUCAGAUGUGAAAUCCACGGGCUCAACUCGUGAACUGCAUUUGAAACUACUCUUCUUGAGUAUCGGAGAGGCAAUCGGAAUUCCUAGUGUAGCGGUGAAAUGCGUAGAUAUUAGGAGGAACACCAGUGGCGAAGGCGGAUUGCUGGACGACAACUGACGGUGAGGCGCGAAAGCGUGGGGAGCAA